UACGUAGGGUGCGAGCGUUAAUCGGAAUUACUGGGCGUAAAGCGUGCGCAGGCGGUUUUGUAAGUCAGAUGUGAAAUCCCCGGGCUUAACCUGGGAAUGGCAUUUGGGACUGCAAGGCUGGAGUUUGGCAGAGGAGACUGGAAUUCCUGGUGUAGCAGUGAAAUGCGUAGAUAUCAGGAGGAACACCGAUGGCGAAGGCAGGUCUCUGGGCUGAAACUGACGCUCAUGCACGAAAGCGUGGGGAGCAAACAGG
rnacentral:rRNA from 1 species